AUUGAACGCUGGCGGCAUGCCUUACACAUGCAAGUCGAACGGCAGCACGGGUGCUUGCACCUGGUGGCGAGUGGCGAACGGGUGAGUAAUACAUCGGAACAUGUCCUGUCGUGGGGGAUAGCCCGGCGAAAGCCGGAUUAAUACCGCAUACGGUCUACGGAUGAAAGCGGGGGACCGUCGGGCCUCGCGCUAUAGGGUUGGCCGAUGGCUGCUUAGCUAGUUGGUGGGGUAUAGGCCUACCAAGGCGACGAUCAGUAGCUGGUCUGAGAGGACGACCAGCCACACUGGCACUGAGGCACGGCCGAGACACCUACGGGAGGAAGCGGUGGGGACUUUUGGACAAUGGGCGAGAGCCUGAUCCAGCAAUGCCGCGUGUGUGAAGAAGGCCUUCGGGUGGGAAAGCAAUUUUGUCCGGAAAGAAAUCCUUGGCCCUAAUACGGGCGGGGGAUGACGGUACCGGAAGAAUAAGCACCGGCUAACUACGUG
rnacentral:rRNA from 1 species